GAUGAGGAUGUUAUGGGAGACAGUGAUGAAAGCCGCUCUGAAGUCAUGGCAGGCAACAUCCAUCCAGAUCCUCUCUGUGUUCUGGUCAGUAAAGGUAGCAAGCUGAGAAGAUCCCUCCUGCAGACUCCUUUUCUCUGCCAUUGGUUCUGACUGGUAGUAAACCCUUAAUGCCACAAUGACCAAUGGUAAAUCACCAUCUGACACAAGCGGACAAAAGAAGCAGGAGGGAUCUAGAGAAAAACGCCUGCACGAAGCAAAACACAGUGUGGAUGGAGCUGAUUCACAUCUCUGCAGUGAAUCUUCAGUAAAAGGUGAACCUGCUUUAGCAGUGGAGUUGGACUAGAUGAUCUCCAGAAGUCCCUUCCAACCCCUAUCGUUCUGUGGUUCUGCUAUUGUUGCCAAGCUAUAGGCAGAUGCCUA